GACGAACGCUGGCGGCGUGCUUAACACAUGCAAGUCGAACGGAAAGGCCCUGCUUUUGUGGGGUGCUCGAGUGGCGAACGGGUGAGUAACACGUGAGUAACCUGCCCUUGACUUUGGGAUAACUUCAGGAAACUGGGGCUAAUACCGGAUAGGAGCUCCUGCUGCAUGGUGGGGGUUGGAAAGUUUCGGCGGUUGGGGAUGGACUCGCGGCUUAUCAGCUUGUUGGUGGGGUAGUGGCUUACCAAGGCUUGACGGGUAGCAGGCCUGAGAGGGUGACCGGCCACAUUGGGACUGAGAUACGGCCCAGACUCCUACGGGAGGCAGCAGUGGGGAAUAUUGCACAAUGGGCGGAAGCCUGAUGCAGCAACGCCGCGUGCGGGAUGACGGCCUUCGGGUUGUAAACCGCUUUCGCCUGUGACGAAGCGUGAGUGACGGUAAUGGGUAAAGAAGCACCGGCUAACUACGUG
rnacentral:rRNA from 1 species